UACAGAGGUCCCAAGCGUUGUUCGGAUUCAUUGGGCGUAAAGGGUGCGUAGGCGGCGCGGUAAGUCGGGUGUGAAAUCUCGGAGCUUAACUCCGAAACUGCAUUCGAUACUGCGGUGCUUGAGGACUGGAGAGGAGAUUGGAAUUCACGGUGUAGCAGUGAAAUGCGUAGAUAUCGUGAGGAAGACCAGUGGCGAAGGCGGAUCUCUGGACAGUUCCUGACGCUGAGGCGCGAAGGCCAGGGGAGCAAACGGG
rnacentral:rRNA from 1 species